rnacentral:rRNA from 1 species
UUGCCAGCAGCCGCGGUAAUACGUAGGGGGCAAGCGUUGUCCGGAAUCAUUGGGCGUAAAGCGCGUGUAGGCGGUUCGGUAAGUCUGCUGUGAAAGUCGGGGGCUCAACCCUCGAAUGCCGGUGGAUACUGUCGGACUAGAGUGCGGAAGAGGCGAGUGGAAUUCCUGGUGUAGCGGUGAAAUGCGCAGAUAUCAGGAGGAACACCAAUUGCGAAGGCAGCUCGCUGGGACGUUACUGACGCUGAGACGCGAAAGCGUGGGGAGCAAACAGGAUUAGAUACCCUAGUAGUCC